UGAAAAGACCCUCUAAAUAGCAAAUGUUAUAGCCUGAGUUUUGUUAGACAACUUCAGUUAUCUGAGGGCUCACGGGCUACUUUUCUCAUUCUCCAGUUCAUUUACAAGUGACUGCAUCAAAGGAACCGUGGAUAACAAGGCUACAUGCAGAAGAGUUUGUAUGCGGGAUGAAACCCUUCAAUGCAGGAGUGGCCCAUUCCUAAGGGCAUUUGCGAGCAACUUGAGAUCUUCCUAAGCAUUCUUUUCUUUUCAGUCCCUCAGGUCUGUUUU
rnacentral:lncRNA from 1 species